ACAUGCCGUGCAGCAGAGCUUACUGAUAUACGGAUAAGGUCCAUGGAGCUAGAAAGGCAACAUAUGGGACAAUGUCAAUGCUACAUUCAGGCAGCCAGUAAAGAAAUUCCCCUUUGCCACAGCUAAUGCUAAUGCUAAUAGUAUAGCCAACUCUGCAGUAGACAACCCCAAUACAUGCCGAUAUUGUGGCAUUUCUCAUGGACGAGGAAAAGAACACUGCCCAGCCUAUGGAAAAAUAUGCAAAUCCUGUGGUACAGCUAAUCACUUCGCAAGGGUCUGCAUGAAAAGCAAGAGAAAGGAGGGUAAAGUGCACUCCAUGGAAACAAACACAGAUGAAGGGAACGGCAGCACAGAGGAUGUACAUGCUAGCGAGUGCAUAGGGGCAGUGAGGGCAAAAGGACAAAAGUGGUUUGUCACUCUGCUACUUAGUAAUAAACCACAGCAAUGCCAGCUAGAUUCAGGGGCCACAUGCAACGUUAUGAGCCUUAAAGACAAAAGGAGGCUCGCGCCCAGAGACAAACUCACACAGAGUAGCACCAAGCUGAAACUGUAUUCAGGCCAGUUCAUGACCUCUUUAGGCCUGUUUGUGACAGAGUGUGUUUUACGUGGCCAGAAAUACACCCUUGAGUUUGAAAUAGUUGAGGGCCAGCCAGUACAUGUUGUCAUGUACUGAACAAGACUGGUUACUCGCAUCAAUGCCUCUGUCUCGUCAUUUAACUUUCAAACACCAGUCAUGGAGCUUUACUCUGAUAGAAACAGCACAAAAUUGCACGUCAUGCAAUGCACAGCCCACCAUCCAACUCUGCACGUGACGCAGUGUACAAAAUAUACGAACCCCCCCACCAGACACAGCUGUAUCACAACCGGAAGUGAUUGGGAGUCCCAUAGGACGGCGCACAUUUGGCCCAGCUUCGUCCGGGUUUGGCCGGGGUAGGCAUCAUUGUAAAUAAGAAUUUGUUCUUAACUGACUUGACUAGUUAAAUAAAAUAUAAUAAUUCAACACAGCCGCGGGAUGUACGGGUGAUGAAGGUGAAAUGGUAAAUCUGAAAUAAUUUGUGUUGCAAU